AACGAACGCUGGCGGCAUGCCUAACACAUGCAAGUCGAACGAGACCUUCGGGUCUAGUGGCGCACGGGUGCGUAACGCGUGGGAAUCUACCCUUGGGUUCGGAAUAACAGUUAGAAAUGACUGCUAAUACCGGAUGAUGACGUAAGUCCAAAGAUUUAUCGCCCAAGGAUGAGCCCGCGUAAGAUUAGCUUGUUGGGGGGUAAUGGCCUACCAAGGCGACGAUCUUUAGCUGGUCUGAGAGGAUGAUCAGCCACACUGGGACUGAGACACGGCCCAGACUCCUACGGGAGGCAGCAGUGGGGAAUAUUGGGCAAUGGGCGAAAGCCUGAUCCAGCAAUGCCGCGUGAGUGAUGAAGGCCUUUGGGUUGUAAAGCUCUUUUACCAGGGAUGAUAAUGACAGUACCUGGAGAAUAAGCUCCGGCUAACUCCGUGCCAGCCGCCGCAGUAA
rnacentral:rRNA from 1 species